UUCCCGGUGGCUCAGUGGUAAAGAAUCUGCCUGCAAUGCAGGAGACCUGGGUUCGAUCCCUGACUUGGGAA
rnacentral:tRNA from 1 species